rnacentral:rRNA from 1 species
UACAGAGGGUGCAAGCGUUAAUCGGAAUUACUGGGCGUAAAGCGUGCGUAGACGGUUAUGUAAGUCGGGUGUGAAAGCCCCGGGCUCAACCUGGGAAUUGCAUUCGAGACUGUGUAGCUAGGGUACGGAAGAGGGAAGCGGAAUUUCAGGUGUAGCGGUGAAAUGCGCAGAUAUCGGGAGGAACACCGGUGGCGAAGGCGGUUCUCUGGGCCUGACCUGACGCUGAGGAGCGAAAGCGUGGGGAGCGAACAGG